UACGUAGGGGGCUAGCGUUGUCCGGAAUUAUUGGGCGUAAAGAGCUUGUAGGCGGUUUGUCGCGUCUGCUGUGAAAAUCCGAGGCUCAACCUCGGACUUGCAGUGGGUACGGGCAGACUAGAGUGUGGUAGGGGAGACUGGAAUUCCUGGUGUAGCGGUGAAAUGCGCAGAUAUCAGGAGGAACACCGGUGGCGAAGGCGGAUCUCUGGGCCAUUACUGACGCUGAGGAGCGAAAGCGUGGGGAGCGAACAGG
rnacentral:rRNA from 1 species